AUGGGGCUGUGCUCGUCGGUGCUGCGGCGGAGGGCGAGGAACCGGCAUCCGGAGCCGAGGCGCGGCACGCCGACGGCGAUGUACGUCGUCAGAGGCGAGGGCGACCGCCGACCGGAGCCGCUGGUGCUCCGGGUGCAGGACUCCGGCCGAACGCAGCUCCAGAAACCGCCUGCCAAUGUGGCGCCCAGAAGGCACGAGAGAUGCAGCCGGCAGCAAGGCGCGGACGCGCCGGACAGGAUGGUCUCCUGCGCUCAUGCUCCUCGGCUGGGUACUACCAGAAGCGCCGCAGGGGUCGAGCCAAGUGCACAGCCGUCCACGCUCAAGACGACGACGGCGACGGCCGGCCGAGGGAACCCGAUGACGCAGGGGCGGUACGGGACGCCGUCGACGGCACCACCGACGACAACGGCCUCGCCGCUCAUAGUGCCAGGGACGCCGGCGUCAGCGGCGAUGACGCCGGGGCGGCCGGUGUGGCGGAGGAGGAUACUGAUGGGGAUGCGGUGCGAGCUGCCGCGCUUCAGCGGCCUCCUGCUCUACGACGAGCACGGCCGGCCGGUGCACAUCGCCACCCCGGGCCGAAGGAACCACCGCCAGGGGAAGAAGAAGGCUGCCAGUGCCAGGACACCUUCCACCACAACUCUCAGGGACCUCCAAUAG
rnacentral:rRNA from 1 species